rnacentral:rRNA from 1 species
GGGUGCGAUCAUACCAGCAAUAAUGCACCGGAUCCCAUCAGAACUCCGAAGUUAAGCUUGCUUGGGCGAGAGCAGUACUAGGAUGGGUGACCUCCUGGGAAGUCCUCGUGUUGCACCCCUCC